ACUGAAAAGGGAUGAGCCCAGCGCGUAGCCUGCAGGCUCGCCCCACUCGAUGGGUCACGAGCCUGCGAGGGAUGCCGCGUAUGGGAGGGAUCAAGAGGGUGCUAGACUCGGCCUGAAGUAUUUAUUGAAUGUUGUCACACUGCCCACAGAGGGUGUAAGGCCCGUAAGGCCGGCGUCUAGAUUACCUCGCUGGUUCCUCUCGAGAGUCGGGUUGCUUGAAAGUGCAGCCCUAAGUAGGUGGUAAACUCCAUCUAAGGCUAAAUAUUCCCACGAGACCGAUAGCGAACAAGUACCGCGAGGGAAAGUUGAAAAGAACUUUGAAAAGAGAGUUCAAUAGAGCGUGAAACUACCACGAGGCUAAAGCGAGUGAGCGUACGUAUCCGAACGGUUUGAUUCAGUCCGCCCGAGCACGAUGAGCAGUGGGGGGUCGUAAUACGUCAUUAACGGAUCUCCCGAAAGGAUCCGAGCUAUACGCUCGGCCUCUAGGGUGACCGGCGUAUCUCCCGCUUUGCUCUGUAGGGGGACGCAUUUCCGGCCGAAGUAGGGCGUCGCGGCCGUUUCGGGGGUGUCUAAGACACGGGGGUCUCGGAAUCCGCAUCUUCUCGUUCCGGCGCGCUCUACCGCCCCUCCCCGGAGGAGCGGCAUCGCGCCGGGGUCGCGAGUCGAGCGGGGCCGCCUCGUUGAUCUGA
rnacentral:rRNA from 1 species